rnacentral:rRNA from 1 species
UACGUAGGCAGCAAGCGUUGUUCGGAUUUACUGGGCGUAAAGGGUGUGUAGGCGGUCUUCUAAGUUUGGUGUGAAAUCUCCCGGCUCAACUGGGAGGGUGCGCCGAAAACUGGAAGGCUAGAGUGCGGGAUGGGAGAGUGGAAUUCCUGGUGUAGCGGUGAAAUGCGUAGAUAUCAGGAGGAACACCUGUGGUGUAGACGGCUCUCUGGACCGCAACUGACGCUGAGACACGAAAGCGUGGGUAGCAAACAGG